rnacentral:rRNA from 1 species
UACAGAGGUGGCAAGCGUUGUUCGGAAUUACUGGGCGUAAAGGGCGCGUAGGCGGUCUUGCAAGUCCCGUGUGAAAUCCCUCGGCUCAACUGAGGAACUGCACGGGAAACUGCUUGGCUUGAGUCCGGGAGAGGGAAGCGGAAUUCCGGGUGUAGCGGUGAAAUGCGUAGAUAUCCGGAGGAACACCGGUGGCGAAGGCGGCUUCCUGGACCGACACUGACGCUGAGGCGCGAAAGCUAGGGGAGCAAACGGG